AGAGUUUGAUCCUGGCUCAGGAUGAACGCUGGCGGCGUGCCUUAAGCAUGCAAGUCGAACGGAAACAGUAGCAAUACUGUUUCAGUGGCAGACGGGUGAGUAACGCGUAAGAAUCUACCCCUGGGAGGAGGAUAGCCGUCCGAAAGGUCGGGUAAUACUUCCUACUCUCGCAAGAGUAAAGGACUUAACGGUCCGCCGAGGGAGGAGCCUGCGUCCUAUCAGCUAGUUGGCGGGGUAAAUGCCCACCAAGGCGAUGACGGGUAGCUGGACUGAGAGGUCGGACAGCCACAACUGCACUGAGACACGGGCAGUACACCUACGGGUGGCAGCAACUGGGAAUAUUGCGCAAUGGACGAAAGUCUGACGCACCGACGCCGCGUGGAAGAAGACGGCCUAUGGGUUGUAAACUCCUUUUGCCAAGCCGUUCACAGCUUGGCAAAUAACCCUCUACUAACUACGUGCCAGAAGUCUCGGUAAUACGUAGGAGGCAAGCGUUAUCCGGAUUUAUUGGGCGUAAAGUGUGCGUAGGCGUUCUGCCAAGUCAUGCCUUAAAGUCUGGGGCUUACCCCCAUUUUGGAUGUGAUACUGGUAGAAUGGAUGUUUGACAGGGGUGACGGAACAGUUAGUGUAGCAGUGAAAUGCGUUGAUAUUAACUGGAACACCGAUGGGCGAAGGCAGUCACCUGUGUUAUACCUGACGCUGAGGCA
rnacentral:rRNA from 1 species